GCCGGGCAUGGUGGUGCGUGCCUGUAAUCCCAGAUACUCAGGAGGCUGAGACAGGUGAAUUGCUUGAACCUGGGAGGUGGAGGUUGCAGUGAGCUGAAGUCACCCCAUUGCACUCCAGCCUGGGUGACAGAGUAAGACUCUGUCUCAA
rnacentral:SRP_RNA from 1 species